GCAUGAAGGUACAGCUUAUCCAGCAGAAAUAUCAGAGGCCAGGCUCCCAAUACAAACUCCUUCAGACUUCUCAGUACUCAAGACAUCUCAAGGUUUUGAACAGUAAAGUAUAAAAUACUGGCAGAGGCGGGUAGGGCGAACAAGAAAAACUGGUGACAGCCCAGAAAAAAUAUCCAAGGGGAUUGCAUUUUUCUUCUCCAAAGCAAAACAGAAUUCAUAACUAAAAGAGGAAUAGAGAAAGAGGAAAAAAGUGAUCUGGGACCUGUUGUUUUUCUUUUAUCCCAUUUCUACUCUGCCUGUGAGUGAAGACUGUUGUGGAAAAGUCAACUGGAGAGACCAGGUCAAAGGCCAAGCAGAAGAGGAAUUAGGCUUAAGACUGCACUGAGAGGGAACACUAGACCACGGUGAAGUGGGAAACAUGAAAUAAAGCAGAAUGAACUAGAAGAGAGACCUUAUGAGGACCUGAAAACAGCCUUCAAAUACCCAAGUGACAUCUUAUAGAAAUUGAAUUAAGAUUUAACUGAGUGGGACAAUUCUGAAGAUAUUGAAUGUAUUUGUUUCAAACUCUGAGCAUGAUUGAUUUCAUAAUCUGUAUCCUGGUGUCUUCACACUAAAGCAGAUUUUUGAAAGAAAGUCCAAAACCCCUGGUGAAAGUUUCAAUUAUCUUGAGGUGUACAUCUGAACCAUCCACAAGAUCAUUUUUUCUAUAGUAGGAAAUUUGCAGCUGCUCAAGUACUAUGAAACAUGACAUAUUUGACUUUCACCUCUCCACUUUUGAACCUUCAAAAAAAUCUGCAAAAAAGGAAUGUUUUAAGUCCCUCCCUACCCUACCCCACCCUUUUUCUUAACUCUCUACCUGAAGCAGGAGAAAUAUUAGGAAAUUUACCCUCACUCUCAACAGCUCUCACAGAAGCCUUCAAGAAGCUACACUUACAAGAGAAGCAUGAACUGAGCACUGGAGAGCUGCAGAGGGUCACGGUGUAUGACAGUCAACUUUAUACAUUCACACUUCAGGCAUCUUAUUCUAACUAACUGCAUAAGCCUGACUGGUUCCUUAGAAAACAUGGCACUGACUUUAACUGAGACGUUUCUAUUUUAGUGCAGCCAGACUACAUGGGAGUCUAUUCCUCUACCAUUUAGUAAUUUAGAUACUUUCAAUAUUAUUGCUAACUGACUCUUGAGGUAUAAGAGCCUUAAUUAUGUUGGUUUAAUAUUUUAUGCUUAAAUAUUGUUAUUUAUAAACUAACAGUGGGAAAUGCUACAACUUCCCCAUGUUUCUUUUUUAUUUCAGUGCUAUAAUAAAAUAUGGUAUCGCUGAUUGAGGCUUACAUUUCAUUAAUGAUACUUGUAAUUAGGAUUAUGAUUUAAAAUAUUUAGUCUUUAUCCACACAUUACAGGAGUGAGCAAUCUUUAAAGACCUCUCUUCCUAACCACCAUCUUUUUCUAAUUUGAACCUAUAACUUUACCAACCACAAAGACAGGGACUAGGGUGUAAUAUCAUAUCUGGGUAUAACUCGCACACAAACGUACAAAUUACCUUGUUCAUCAGGGGCUAUGCCUACAAAAUACUCCAUGACAUCACAGUAUUUAGCAUUCUACAUAGACAAAAAUAAUGUGACAUUUAUUUGCAAGUUAUUAAGAAAAAUGUGUAAACUAUAUGCCACUAACACUUCUAUUUCUGAUAUUUUUUUCCUCAGUGAGAGAAAAAAAAAAGAUUCAUCCUCAGGUAACU